CAGUAGCCGCGGUAAUACGUAGGGCGCGAGCGUUGUCCGGAAUCAUUGGGCGUAAAGCGCGUGUAGGCGGCUGGGUCAGUCUGUUGUGAAAGUCCAGGGCUUAACCCUGGGAUGUCGGCGGAUACUGCUCAGCUGGAGUACGGGAGGGGCGAGCGGAAUUCCUGGUGUAGCGGUGGAAUGCGCAGAUAUCAGGAGGAACACCUAUGGCGAAGGCAGCUCGCUGGAACGUUACUGACGCUGAGACGCGAAAGCGUGGGGAGCAAACAGGAUUAGAUACCCCCGUAGUCCCUGUCUCUUAUAC
rnacentral:rRNA from 1 species